AGCUGCUUGGCUAGCUUUUGAAGCUGGUAAAAAAUAUUCUAAUGACAAACAAGAUAAUGGUGAUACUGAUGAAGAAUCAGACAAAAGAACAAAUUGUGGCAUUGGAAGUAUUUGUGAUAGAUGUGAUCAUUUCAAACAUAUUCUAGUUGGAGAAGACUAUGUAAAAGUCUGUUGCAAGAGCUGUAGUGAGCACUUCGUUGCCGGAAAUUACGAGGAUGGAGAUAAGACACAACCACACUGCGCAUGCAAAUACGACUACAUAAAAGGUGAUUGUUGGAAGGGACUUGCCUGUUCAGCAUGCGAUAAAACUGUUGUUGGAAAUAUCAAUGGAGUUCCAGUUUGUUGUGAAAACUGUGAAAAAAGUGGCAUUAGGUAUGGAUUUGAAAGUCAAUAUAACACCUGUGACUGUCUUCACAAUGGAUAAAAGUAAAAGCAGAAAAAUACUGAACCCCGAUUCAAACCGGAAGGCUAAUGUUUAUGGAAUUUAAUGUAUCUCAUAAUUUAAAUGUGAAUUAGAAAAAAAUGUAAAAUUUUAUAUAAACAAAUGCUCAUCGGAAACAAUCAAACUAUCUGACGAAUAUGUCUAGCAAAUCAUUUGAUUGCAAAAAUAUACUUCAGAAAAAAGGCGAUUAUGACUGUUUUUAUGUUAUGUACAUCAUUAUCUACUGGAGUAUAGCAUUGUGGAAACCCAGAGUCACCAAUAAUAAUAAUUUUUAUUUUACUUGUAUUUUUUUUAUUAUUGAAUCAGAAUUAUUCCUAUAUAUAUUAUAUUAAUGUGUACAUAUUUUUCUAUUUUAGUUGUAUGUGAUAUUUCUAUUAUACCCGUAUUAAGUUGUAUAUGACCUUUCUGUUAUACCAUUAUUUUAGUUGUAUGUGAUCUUUCUGUUAUACCAGUAUAUUCUAGUUGUUCGAUAUGUUGUUUUCCAUUAUUUUAUUUGUUUUUCCAUUAAACUUGCUAGUAUAUAUUAUUUAAAUAAAAAUAUACAACUGCAU